AGCAUUUUGAGUCCGUGCUGAGAUUUCGUCAGCCACCAACCCAUUAGGGCUGAUCAUAAUUCCAAGAUAAGUGAUGUU
rnacentral:pre_miRNA from 1 species